rfam:Glycine soja cultivar W05 scaffold1671_13, whole genome shotgun sequence.
UUCUUAUUGUAUGAUGAUUGUCACGUGUCAUGUGUGUCAUGUUCUGAUUCGAUGUCAACUCCAUGAAAGAUGAAAUGCAUUGUUAUUUUUAUUAACUAAUUAGAACAUGACACACAUGAGACGUGACAGUCAUCAUCC